GUCUGGUGCCAGCAGCCGCGGUAACUCCAGCUCCAAUAGCGUAUAUUAAAGUUGUUGCGGUUAAAGCGUUCGUAGUUGAAUUUGUGCUUCAUACGGAUGGUGCAACUAUAAUUUUAGUUUGUACUAUGCCUUAUGUAUGUAAGCGUAUUACCGGUGGAGUUCUUAUAUACAGUAUUUAUUGUAUAUUUAUUGUGUAUUCCUCCUAUAGAAACUUACUUCAAUGCUCUUUAUCGGGUGUUGUUGUAGGCCGGUACAAUUACUUUGAACAAAUUAGAGUGCUUAAAGCAGGCUCAAGAUGCCUGAAUAUUUUGUGCAUGGGAUAAUGGAAUAAGACCUCUGUUCUGCUUUCAUUGGUUUCUAGAUCAAGAGGUAAUGAUUAAUAGAAGCAGUUUGGGGGCAUUAGUAUUACGACGCGAGAGGUGAAAUUCUUGGACCGUCGUAAGACUAACUUAAGCGAAAGCAUUUGCCAAAGAUGUUUUCAUUAAUCAAGAACGAAAGUUAGAGGUUCGAAGGCGAUCAGAUACCGCCCUAGUUCUAACCA
rnacentral:rRNA from 1 species